CAUUUAAGGAGAGAGAGGACAGGGAUGGGAGAGCAGGUUGGGUUUCCUUUCAGAUAAGCUCGUUGCAAGUUGCCUCCGCGUCCCCGUGGGUGGUACUUUUCAGACGGAGGGAUCUCAGAUUGCUUUCCUAACAUUACUCUCAACCACUGGCCGGGCUCGUGUCCUGACUUCACCCAGCUGCGAUGCUCAGCACAUCUGGAAGAAACAUGUUUUUUGAGGGUCUGAAUGGGGAAAAGAGGGAUUUUCCAUCGCACUCGAGUGACUCCUAACGGGCUCCGUCCUCCCAUAAUAAGGGAUAUUUUACGAGGGGCCCCGUGCCUGCAAACCACCGCCUGGCAUCUUUUCAGCAACCUCCCGGGGUAUUUCUACAUGGCAGAAAAAUAACCCACAUCUCUGCUAAAGGUACUUUGAGAGAUCUGGUUAACGCGUGCUCUGCUGCUUUUUCUUGAACGGUGAUCCAACGGCUUCGGAGCUACAGUGCGAGGAGCCAGACAGAGGUUUUGGAGACGAUUUUCACACCUGGGUUGGUACCUUUUGCACUUCCGGAGCUGAAAUUCCCUCCGCUGGUGCUCAGACCACUGCCGCCACCUGCUCCGUAGC